AAAUUUUUAACCACUCUACAGCAGAUUGUAUGAAAUUGAGUCACUUAAAUGAAGGGAAGAGCUACGUACAGCUGCAUAUUUAUCAACCAAUGGACGGAAAGCAGGGUCAGACAGGAGAACUUUGUCGGUUGGUAGCUGAAGAAGGCCUUCC